GGGAACGGGAACGUUAAGUUUGCAGCUACUCACCGGGUUCGUAGGCGAAGAAAGUCCUCGGUAACGAUGGGCUCUGGCGUGUGUUUUUUUAAAUAUCUUCCCCCCUCACGGCCACUGAGAACGGGCGCAACGUCAGUGGGUCGCCGCUCUCUGAUGGAAAGCUCUGAAUAACAAAGACAUGUUUGAGAGCAGCAGCGGCGGCGGCGGCAGGCUGGGCCUGAGCGGAGCGGAGCGCUGACGUCAAGGAGCCGUGACUGUGCCAAGCAGCAUCCAGACCCCAGGCCCACCAGACGCGCGCGCGCGCGCGCGCACACGCGUACGCACGCUGGAGCGCUCGUGCCCCCGUGGCCUGUUUGGAAACAGCCCCGUGAUAAAAGUUCCAAACACGCCACCGUCCAAGCUGUGAGUGACUCUCUGGGAGUUGGGGUGUGAUGAGAGUCAGAGUGCACGUCCUUGGGAGUCACCGUUCAGCUGAAGCUGCUGUGUUUGGACUCCUCUUAGACCUCUUCCUUUUUGGCCUGUGUCUCUAGCCCAGCUGUCUAAGUUAGGGGGAGGGAUGGACUGGAACAAUAGGCGCCAUUUGUCCUACUAAAAGGUGACAGGAAGCAUUGAUUUCAGCCUGUUCCAGGCUUUAAGCCAUGCCCGAACUGGCUAAUGUGAACAUUUCCCACCGACGAACAUUGGACAUUUUCUGGGUAAUUGUUAUUCACAGUCGUAGCAGGAUGCAGGGGUGAACCUCAUCCAUUUCACUCAGCUUUUACAUGUUUUAUUGCAUCUCAUGUUCAAUAGGUGCAAGAUGUUUAAAAGCUAUAAUAAAAGUAAACAAAGGGGGGGUGAAAAAAAUUAAACUGUUAAAUAUAUUUAACAACAAUAUCCUAUGUUUUCUAUGUUGUAUUAUAUGCGCUGUUUUAAAGUAUGACCUCAUUAUUUAGAGGUAAUGACAGAAGUAAAAGGUCCGGUGAACACAUUC